UACGUAGGGGGCCAGCGUUGUCCGGAAUCAUUGGGCGUAAAGCGCGCGUAGGCGGCCAGAUAAGUCCGGUGUGAAAGUCCCAGGCUCAACCUGUGAAUGCCGCUGGAAACUAUCUGGCUAGAGUCCGGAAGGGGCGAGUGGAAUUCCUGGUGUAGCGGUGAAAUGCGCAGAUAUCAGGAGGAACACCUAUGGCGAAGGCAGCUCGCUGGGACGGUACUGACGCUGAGGCGCGAAGGCCAGGGGAGCAAACGGG
rnacentral:rRNA from 1 species